rnacentral:misc_RNA from 1 species
GAUGAAGACCGUAGCAAAAUGCGAUAAGUAAUGUGAAUUGCAGAAUUCAGUGAAUCAUCGAAUCUUUGAACGCACAUUGCGCCCGCCAGUAUUCUGGCGGGCAUGCCUGUUCGAGCGUCAUUUCAACCCUCAAGCACAGCUUGGUGUUGGGACUCGCGUUAAUUCGCGUUCCCCAAAUUGAUUGGCGGUCACGUCGAGCUUCCAUAGCGUAGUAGUAAAACCCUCGUUACUGGUAAUCGUCGCGGCCACGCCGUUAAACCCCAACUUCUGAAUGUUGACCUCGGAUCAGGUAGGAAUACCCGCUGAACUUAAGCAUAUCAAUAAGCGGAGGA